GCCUGGGUGGCUCAGUCGUUUAAGCAUCUGACUCUUGAUUUUGGCUCAGGGCAUUGUCCCAUAGUUUGUGGGUUCAAGCCCCACAUCAGGCU
rnacentral:tRNA from 1 species